UUAGUGUCUCUCCAUCCCCACAGCGGACAGGGACCUGAGGAGAGGGGUUUAGGAGCGUGGCGUGGGUGGGAUGAACUAAGAAGAGACAGGAUCCCAAGGAAAAACACUAAAAGACAUUUUCUAAGCCCAGUGGGUAGACUCGGGGAUGCCCUCAACCUGUUCAGUAAGCCAUAAGCACUGGAUAAGAAGCAAGCUUUUUUUUUUUUUAACUUUCAAUCAAAACCUGCCUUGAUACUGAGCAUGCCCAGGCCUCCACAACACCCUAGGAGUUGCGAUCAGUGUGAGUUCUAGAUUGAAAAGGUGGGAGCUGGGACAGGAAAGAGGCAGAAGUUUGUCUCUGGCCAUUUGACACGGCGGAGUUGGGGAAGCAGGAGCGACUGAGAUAGAGGUGGUCCUUCUUGCUUUGGGAGACCAGUCACAUCAUUCCGUCUGAACUCGAGUGGGAAGCCAGGCUCCGAUAAUGUCAGGACAGCUACAUGCCUGGAGACCGCCCAGGAAGGGUGUGGUGGACCGGAGCUGAACGCAAGGUUCAUCCCAUAGGUGGGGCCCAGGAGCGAGGCUCCACCCAGCUGCAGCUGCUAGGCAGUGGAGCGCCCAGGGAGUUUCCAUGCAGCGACCAAUAAGUUUGGAGACUUGGGUCAAGUGCGACCUUGUUAGAUACGCUUUUCCCACCUUCUUGGGCUUGUGCUCGCCCCCGCCCCCAUCUCUCUCCAGCCUUUGCCAGCACGCUGGGGACUAAAGGGCUUUCUCCCUCCUCCUCUUCCUAGCUGAACCCUUCUGCUCGCAAGUAAGAAGCUUUUCCCCUGUGAGAGCGGCGGUGACCUGAUUGUCUCUAAGCUCCUGGGCAAUUUAUAGCUUGGAUGAUCGUGGCAUCUCAGGUACGGGAAAUAAAUAGCGAUCUCAAUUCCCCAAACUCAUCCACUUUGAACUGGAGUUUUAUUAACACUGGUGUGCAAAGGUAACUGUAGCGAGAAUUCAAUUAACGGUAACACAUUUCUUCAGGUUUGUAAUUAAAUCUCUUCUAUUUAUAUAAUGUUUAAGGUAAGAACCUUUUCUGAAUAUAUGGCAAAAGAGGAUCACCUUCAUAUAAAUGGAUCCUUCUAAGACACGAACCCUUGUGUUUUGGACUGUUUACAUUAUCAAGAAUUUAGAAUGAGAGGUAAACUAAGAAAAUACUAUAUCUUCAACGUGUAACUUUAUGUUAACACCCACCUUCUGUUUUCCAAAAUAGCCCCUGAAAAUAGUUUCUUAGGUAAAAAAGGAGAUAACAAACUUUGUAAGUUGAUUUGAAAUGUUUGGCCAAGGAGAGGAGGGAUCUGAAGAGGAGGAGGAAUGGAUGGGGUCAGUGUAAGAAGAGGUAGAAAAAUUGAGUAUCUGUUUGUAUUUUCCAAUGAAGAUAUGUGCAUGAGAGGAACAUUAUCAUAUCCACCUAAUGGAAAUUUUUAUUUUAAAAUAUACGUGAUCCUCUUUUUAGGUUAUUUUUUGUUGUUGUUAAAAACUACAUGCUUUCCCUAGUUACCAACAGUAAUAUGUAGAGAAAAGAAAGAAGAGCAUAUAAAUGAACGGAAUAAGAAUAUAGAAUUUUUGAUUUUCUGUUCUAGACCCUAGGUCUAUCAUCAUUUUAGUCAAUUUCUUUUUCUGUCUACCUCAAAUCUACCCACAGUGUCCUUUGGUGGAAACCAUUCUAGGGGGCAUGGAUAUGUCAGAACCUCCCAAUCCCACCCCAAGGGCUUCUUGAAGGGGACGUCUGCCUAUAAUAAGAAAUGAGCUUUGGGCAUAUUUCACUGUACUGUUUUAGAAUUAAUAGCAUUUUACUUAUCAAUAUUAAGAAGAUUAUUUAUAUACUAACUAGAUACAAAUUAGGUUGUUACUUUUGGUUUUUUUUUGGAUUUUUUUGAGGACCAAAAUUUUUGAUUCUCUUUUAUAUUUGCAUAGUUGUCAACUCUGAGAAUUCAUUGAAGACCUUUCCUGGUCCUAUUUGGUUGGUACAACAUCAACAUCAUGUUUUCAUAAGUGUAUAAGUGUGUGUGUGUGUGUGUGUGUCUGUCUGUCUGUCUGUCUGUCUUUCUGUCUCUGUGUGUAUGUAUGUGUGUGAGUGAGUGUCUAUCUCUCUCUCUGUGUAUGUAUGUGUGUCUGUCUCUGUGUGUGUGUGUGUCUCUCUCUCUCUCUCUCUCUCUCUCUCUCUGUGUGUGUGUGUGUGUGUGUGUGUGUGUGUGUGUGUGUGUGUAUGUUUUGUGUCUGUCUGUGAAAGAACAUAUGCAUAUACCAGGAAAACUUACAGUUUCUGUGAAUGCCCUCCACCUUCUUUGAGACAGAGUCUCUUUGACUUCUGUCUUAUUUGGACUUUCAUUGCUGUGAAGAAACAUCAUGGUCAAGGCAGCUCUCACAAAGGAAAAUAUUUAAUUGGGGCUGGGCUACAGUUUCAAAGGUUCAGUACAUUGUCAUCACAGUGGAAGCAUGGCAGCAUGCAGACAGACAUGGUGCCUGUGUAGCCAGAGAACUCUACAUCUUGAUCUGAAGUCAACCAGCAGGAGACUGACUUUUCACACUGGGCAGAGCUUGACUACUAGGAGCCCUCAAGCCUGCCUACACAGUAACACACGUCUUCUAACAGGGCCAUACCUUUUCCGACAAGGCCACACCUCCUCAUAGUGCCACUUGCCAUGGGCUAAGCAUUCUAACUCACCAAUUAAGUUCUACUGGCUGGCCAUUGAGCCUCACAGAGCUUCUGCCUCUCCUUUCCCAGCGCUAAGAUUACAAGUGCAUGCACUCUCACACUUGGCUUUUCCAUGGGAGCUGAGGCUUGAACUCAGCUCCUUACACUGGCUAAGUACUUCACUGAGCAUCUUCUUAGUUCCGAGACAUAUUUCUAUCGCAGAAAGUGUAUGGAUCCUCAUCUUACCGCAUCACACCAUUGUUUGUUAAAAAGAAAGUUCAAUUCAAAAACAGAGUUGGCUCAUUCUUACCACAUUCAUCAGUCUGCUGACAGGGGCUUUUCUAUUCAGGAUUCCUAUGUCUUUUACCAUCAACACAACUCCUUUCCUGAGUAUAUGAUCUUGAUACUUUCCUUAAUUACUUGCUUUUUCAGAACUGAGACCUACUUUGAAUGUUUUGCUUCUGUGCAUAAACAAAAUCCUACUUUCAUUAAUUAAAAAAUGCUUUACACAACCCGUAUCUGUGUCAAAGUUUCCUCUUCCUUUAUCAUUGAACUUUUCCGUUUCCUGUUUUAAUGAUUUUUUUUGCCAUAUAUUUUAGCUUACAAGAUCAGAAUAGAAACCGAACUGGAUUGAUGCACAGGGUAGAGAGGUGUGUCUUAUGGGAAGAGAGGGAAUUAGGGAAUUUAGGAACUAGAAAUUCAUUAGGCACGAACCCAGUCAAGGAUUUCUGUGGACCACAGGAAAUACUUACAUGAGAGAAAUAUAAAUAAAGUUACCAUUUUGGUGGAAUAUGCAUAUAUUCGGUGGGUAGGACAUACAUUUCUAGUUCAACAGGACUCUCAUAUAGCUUUAGACAUUACAUGCUUAAUUGUUAAGACAGUAACUUGGUAAAAAUAGCAUUACUCAGAGCUGUGAAAUAAUUAAAAGUAACAAACUCUUCCAGUAUAUAUUUCCUUUUCCUUCCUUUUUGGCCUUUGCUUCUUAAGAUACAGCUCCCACUUUCCUUUGGUUUUUCUUUUUAAGACAGGGAAUUGACUAGGCAUUUGUUUUCUGGCCUAUUUCUGAAUUUAGUAGAAUCCCAGCCUUACAACUAAUUGGCUGUGUGACCUUGAAAGAUGUGCAAAACAAACCUCUCCAAGUCUUGGGUUGCUUAUUUCUCAUGUGUACAUAAUGUGUGUACAUAACACAUACUUUUAGGGAUUUUUGCAAAGAUUAAGAAAAACAGUUCCCAGAAGGUACUAAUUCUCACCCUCUCACAAGGUAAGAAGGGCUACUAACAAUUAUAAUUAUCUUACUAUUAUAUUGCUCUUAUUGUUGCUUCUAUGUUCUUUUCUUGCCCCCACCCCAGGUUUCUGAGAGAGCAGAUUUUUUCUGCUAUUGUUUCCUCUACUUAAGUCAAUAUUGUGGAAGACUCUUUACCUAAAUUUGAAAAAGUAUAAGAACUUUCUAUUUGGGGACUGAAGAGAUGGAUUGCACUGCUGAAGACUGAAAGCUGGAGCGGAUCCAGGUCCUGGUCCAAACACCAAAGUCAGGCAGCUCACGACUGCCUAUCACUUUAGUUUCAGGGGAUUUGACACCCUCUUUUGGCUUCCAUGUGCAUGGCACGCAUACAGCUUAGCAGGCGCACACAUACAUAUAAAUAAUAAAGAUGGAAAUAAUGAACAAACCAAAGAAAGAAAAGAGAAGAGAAGAGAAAAGAAGAAAAGAAAAGAAAUCUUGGGUAUAAUGACAUAUAAACAGCCUCCUAUGCCACCUUUGUUGUUCAUUGGUUGUUCUCCUCCAGGAGAUAAAUUUUAACUGGAUUUAUGGAGAGAUAAGCUUUAUCUUUGUUUUCUCUUAGUUUUAAAUUUGUUGUUGAAAUUUAGUUUGAAACAUCCUAUUAUAAUGGCAAGAUAAUUGUCAAACACUAUUUUCCCUGGGAAAUGCUUUUAAAGACUACCAUAGCAAUCCAUUUUGAUUUUUUUGUCUUGUCUCUGUCUCUGUCUCUGUCUCUGUCUCUGUCUCUGUCUCUGUCUCUGUCUCUGUCUCUGUCUCUGUCUCCCUUUCCCUUUCCCUCCUCCUCUCCACCCUCUCUCAAUCAUUUGACCUGGCAUGAACUUUUUCUUUUUUCCUUUUAUCGCUAACUGAUUUAUUUUCCCACAUAAUGUAUCUUGAUUGUGGUUUCCUUUCCCUCUGCCCCUCCCAGCUCCCUCUUACCUUCCCUUCCAUGUGGAUCCACCCCCUUUCAGUGUCUCACUAGAAAACCAACAGGCUUUUAAGGGAUAAUAAUAAAAUAUAAUAAGAUAAAACAAAAAUCUAACACCUCAGAGUUGGAUGACACAAACGAACAGGAGGAAAAGAGUCCAAGAGAAGACACAAGAAUCUGAGACUCACUUAUGCACAUACUUGGGAACACAAUAAAAACACUAAAGUGGAAGCCAUAUUGUAUACAUCAAGAGGUCCUGGUCCAGACCCAUGCAUAGCCUGUACAUGCCACCUCAGUCUCUGUGAGGCUUCUAAGGGAAAAUAAUUAAAUAUAACACAGUAGCUUAAAACAAAAGCAAAUGGGUAUAAGACAAAACAAACAUAAGGGAAAGAUCCCAUGAAAAGGCACUAGAAACAAAUAUAAAGCAGAGAGAAGCUGGUCUAAAUACUCAGCCAUCCCAUAGGAACACGAAACUGGAAGUCAAAAUAUAUAGGCAAAAGACCUGUAGCAUACAAAGAGAGGAAAUAGAUAUAAAUUAAAUUUUAAAGGAAGGAAGGAAGGAAGGAAAGAAAGAAAGAAAGAAAGAAA